GUAGGGAAUAUUGGUCAAUGGACGAGAGUCUGAACCAGCCAAGUCGCGUGAAGGAAGACGGUUCUAUGAAUUGUAAACUUCUUUUGUGCAGGAAUAAAGUGGGUUACGUGUAACCUUUUGUAUGUACUGUACGAAUAAGGAUCGGCUAACUCCGUGCCAGCAGCCGCGGUAAUACGGAGGAUCCGAGCGUUAUCCGGAUUUAUUGGGUUUAAAGGGUGCGUAGGUGGAUUGAUAAGUCAGCGGUGAAAGUUUGCAGCUUAACUGUAAAAUUGCCGUUGAAACUGUCGGUCUUGAGUGCAAAUGAGGUAGGCGGAAUGUGUUGUGUAGCGGUGAAAUGCUUAGAUAUAACACAGAACUCCGAUUGCGAAGGCAGCUUACUGGGAUGCAACUGACACUGAUGCACGAAAGCGUGGGUAUCAAACAGGAUUAGAAACCCUUGUAGUCC
rnacentral:rRNA from 1 species